GUAGGGGGCCAAGCGUUGUCCGGAAUCAUUGGGCGUAAAGAGCUCGUAGGCGGUUUGGUAAGUCUGAUGUGAAAUCUCCACGCUCAACGUGGAGCGGCCAUCCGAUACUGCCAUGACUUGAGUCCGGUAGAGGAGUGUGGAAUUCCCGGUGUAGCGGUGAAAUGCGCAGAGAUCGGGAGGAACACCUGUAGCGAAGGCGACACUCUGGGCCGGUACUGACGCUGAGGAGCGAAAGCGUGGGGAGCGAACAGGAUUAGAUACCCUGGUAGUCCACGCCGUAAACGUUGGGCACUAGGUGUGGGGGUCUAUCGACGACUUCUGUGCCGUAGCUAACGCAUUAAGUGCCCCGCCUGGGGAGUACGGCCGCAAGGCUA
rnacentral:rRNA from 1 species